UUUCUUAAAGUAAUAUCUACAUUUAAUUUCGACUUAAAAUCUUGUUUUAUCAAUAAACUAAGAAAA
rnacentral:tRNA from 1 species